rnacentral:lncRNA from 1 species
GUUUCAAGGCGCCCUUUACGGGUUUUCACCUCGGCCUCUCCUUUUUCUUUUUUCGUUCUUCUUUUCUUUUCUUUUUUCUUUUCAUGUUUUUUCAAGUUAGGUAUUUAUUGCUUGAAUCAGAAUUCUAAAGAUUAGGCAGGUUCUUGCCAUCCAUCUUGGUCAAUAUCCACGCUUUUUCAGAUAAGACCUUCCACAUAAGGUCGUUUCUAGUUUGGUAUCCACUUUCUUCUGAAGUUCUUUUAUAUGGUAAGGAUCUUCUUCGAUAUCAGGUCCCCCUCAUGGAAUUCUCU